AUUGAACGCUGGCGGUAUGCUUAACACAUGCAAGUCGAACGAUGAGAAAGAGCUUGCUCUUUCGAUUAGUGGCGGACGGGUGCGUAACGCGUAGGAAUCUACCUAUUAGUGGGGGACAACUUAGGGAAACUUAAGCUAAUACCGCAUACGCCCUACGGGGGAAAGAAGGGGAUCGCAAGACCUUUUGCUAAUAGAUGAGCCUGCGUAGGAUUAGCUAGUUGGGGGGGUAAAAGCUCACCAAGGCGACGACCCUUAACUGGUUUGAGAGAAUGAUCAGUCACACUGGAACUGAGACACGGUCCAGACUCCUACGGGAGGCAGCAGUGGGGAAUAUUGGACAAUGGGCGAAAGCCUGAUCCAGCAAUACCGCGUGUGUGAAGAAGGCCUUAGGGUUGUAAAGCACUUUCAAUUGGAAGGAAAACCUCGAAGCUAAUACCUUCGAGUUUGACAUUACCUUUAGAAUAAGCACCGGCUAACUACGUGCCAGCCGCCGCGGUAA
rnacentral:rRNA from 1 species